GAUGAACGCUGGCGGCGUGCUUAACACAUGCAAGUCGAACGGUGAAGGCGGAGCUUGCUCUGCUGGAUCAGUGGCGAACGGGUGAGUAACACGUGAGCAAUCUGCCCCUGACUCUGGGAUAAGCGCUGGAAACGGCGUCUAAUACUGGAUACGAGCUGCGAAGGCAUCUUCAGCAGCUGGAAAGAAUUUCGGUCAGGGAUGAGCUCGCGGCCUAUCAGCUUGUUGGUGAGGUAAUGGCUCACCAAGGCGUCGACGGGUAGCCGGCCUGAGAGGGUGACCGGCCACACUGGGACUGAGACACGGCCCAAACUCCUACGGGAGGCAGCAGUGGGGAAUAUUGCACAAUGGGCGAAAGCCUGAUGCAGCAACGCCGCGUGAGGGACGACGGCCUUCGGGUUGUAAACCUCUUUUAGCAGGGAAGAAGCGAAAGUGACGGUACCUGCAGAAAAAGCGCCGGCUAACUACGUG
rnacentral:rRNA from 1 species